UUCACCAAGGUACCCCAUUGAAAACACCAAGUCUCAUCCAAUCACAGAAGUGAAGUUAUGUCAAGCUCUAUCAGUACUUGGGAGGGUAACCUAAAUUCACCAAGGUACCAACUCA
rnacentral:rRNA from 1 species